AAGCGAUUGGCGCUGUUGUAAGCCAGCGGGACACCUGGCGGUCAGGUGGAGAGCUGGCGUUUCUGUGGUCUGCCGUGCGGGCGCGGCGCGCGGGGUCGCUGCCGCCGCCGCCGCCGCCCCCGCGCCGUUCGGCCGGCGCGGCUGCGGCAACCGGUCGGCAGGGGCCGGCAGUAGCGCGGCACGUGUGGGAGCAGGCGGGGCCGGCCGACACGCGCCGUCCGACCGACCGUGGCCGGUAAGAUGAGCGUCGUUGCCAGCGACAUUCUGUUCGUGCGGGGCGACGGCGGCUACCGGCCCGGCCUGACGUCUCCAGUGGCUUCGCUGGACCUGGUGAAGCAGACUGGAGGCCCCCACUCGAGCUCCACGGUCAGCUCCAAGGACAGCGCCGUGUUCGAUGAGUUCCACCACUCGCCGCGCUGGCUGGCCAAAAACCGCCACAACGCUCAGAAGGCCGCCAAAUACAAACAGCUAUUCGGCUCCCAGCCGCGACCCGAUGGCCCGGCCAGCUCCGGGACGCCCCCGGUCAGCGGUCUGACCUCUGUGACCCCGGUCAGCGGGCCGGCGGGCCAGACGGGGUCAGGCGGACGGCGGCCGCCGCUGCCCGCCGCCAGGAGUUCGCUGUCGUCCAUCACAUCACUGAUUCUAGGCACCAAUCGGUUUCGACAGCGGUCUGCCAAGGCAAAUCAUCGGUCGACGACCGUGCUGAACACAGCGAAGGAGGCCGUCAACCACACUUCGACGACCAUCAUCACCGGCAGCCCGGUCCCGGGAGGCGGCCGGUCAGAAACGGCACCGGACGCUCCGUCCCCGAUCAAAGGGGACCGCCGGCCGCCGACCUGGAUCGAGAAGGCACUGCGCGCCGACGCUGCGACCCCGUCCCAGCUGCCGGCGCCGCUCCGGCUCGGCCGCCAAUCGGAGCCGGCGCAGCGGCUCGGUGACGUCACCGGCCACCGCGAUGUCGUCACCGAUGACGUGAAGGGUCGGCCGCCGCGGCCCGGCCGGCCGGCGCGCAUCAGUUUGGUGACCGUCAGCGCGGCGGAGCAGGCCGCCGCGGCCACGCAACAAAGUGCGUCGGAGCGUGGUGACAGUGCGAGCGGUGUGGGCGCAGCAAGCGGACCGCAGACCGACGCCGGCUCAGUGCCGGUGGCCCCUCCGCGGCGGCGCCGUCCGACCGGCCGUCUGACCUCGAGCGUGGGCGACCUGCUCGACUCGGGGGAGCGCCGGCCGCGCCUGGUACCGCACGGCGUGCCCACCGCCACCACCCGGCUGACGAUCCCGCUCAGCGGCCUGCGGGGCCCGCCGGCCGCGCCAGCCGGCACCCACUCGAGGCCCGAGCCCGACUCGAGUCACGACUCCUCGCUCAGGGGUCACGACUCGGCAGCCCCCACCGCUCCUCGGCCCCAGCCGCGGCGGCACAGCAAGUCCACCGGCAGUCUCCUGUUCGCCGGAGAGACCCCAGGCAGCCCGCCGAGGGCGGCACCGAGAGCUCUCAAGUUCAGCAUCGGGAGGGCGCUCACCGAGCACGGCGCGAGGACCAGCGUCCAAUUGACGUCCGACGGAGCCUCAGAGACACAGCCGGAGCGACAGAGCCGUCAGGAGCCGCGGCCGGAGUCCAAGCGACCGUCGGAACCUGAACAGGAGCCGGACAGGACGCCACCGUCAUUGUUUGAAAGGACAGGAGAGCUGAAGAGCGGUAGCAGGGCCAGUAUCCGUGUUCAGUCGCCGCCCCGGCAGCCGGUCACCAGUCUCCCGGAGCCGCGGUCGGCGGAGCUGGAGACAGACUCCAGUUCGGCGGACGGCAGUGACUCCCCGCCAUCCCUCCGUCGCGUCCUCAGCCCGCUCUCUGCCGACUCUGUAUCAGACCUUUCUGCGGCCGCGGGCUCGGAGCGGCGCACCUACCGGAGUCGACGGCCGGUCAGCACCACCGCGUCCCCGGCCACCCCGCUGCUCUCCAGCCAGGAUCGGCGCCGGCCACAGAGCGCCUUCAACGCGCGGCGGACGAUCGCGCACCGCCGCCAGGCAGAGGCGGCCGCCAGGAGCGCCUCGGAGCCGCGCCGGCGACACACGGCUACCUGGGUCACCGGCAAGAUCAACGUGAGCGUGACGAGCGUGGGUCGCGCAGCCAGUCUGACGCAGCUGGGCGCCGGCGGAGGGACGAGGGCGCUGACCGUCUCGGACCGCUCCUCCUCCAGUCCAACCCUGGAGCAGGAGAAGCGCGACAUCCGCCGCUACCUGUACUGCACCAACCUGACCUCGGGCGACCAGAGCCCUGAGCGCGAGCGGCGUCUGUCCGAGAGCUGCCUGCGACUGGGCGCGCCGGCGGCCGGUGACGAGCUGCCCGAGCGGCCGGCCGACCCGCGCCUCCUCUCGCCCGACUCGAUCGGAUCGUGCUGGAGCGCCGUCACCGCCGACGUGCUCACCGUGCGCGACACAGCCGACGAGCGCUCUGACGUCACUGGAGACCGGUGUGACGUCUUUGGAGGCCGGACGGACGCCGCGAUGACUCUGGAAACGGAGGAUGAGCGGCCGCCCAGCUCGAUCUCGACCGCCGCGUCCACCGGCCCGCGGCGGCGGCUGAGCACCAGUGUGGUCCACCUGUGGGGUCCCGACGAGAGCCACCUGCUGCCGUCCGGCCCCAGCAGUCUGCCCAGCACAAGACCAGCGCGGCCUCACAGCCUGUCGAGCUCUACACUGCUCGGUGGGACGGACCAACAGCCCAGCUGGCUGCCCAGGAGCCAGGAGCGGCGCAGUCUGCGGGACGGCCUCAAAGGAGACGCCUGGAGCCGUACUGCUGACCCCGCUCAGUCACCCACCACGCUGCUAACGGCCAGUGUGGGGCAGCCGGCCGCGGGCCUGGCCAACGGCCAGCCGGCCGAGCCACGCCUCAGCUCCGAGUCACGCCCGCCGGCCGGCGGACACGGCCCCCGACCGGCACCGCUAGAUCUCAGCGCCAACGCCGACGUCGAGCUUUCAUCUGAGGUUCCGCCCGAGCCUCCUUCGUGUCCUCCUCCCGACUCACCGACCGAGUCGCCGUGUGACCUGCCCCCUCCGCCCCCCUCGCAGCCUCCCCCGGACUCUCCCCCGGACUCUCCCCCUCCUCUGCCCUCGGUGCCUCCCCCAGAGUCGCCGACCGACUCCGGUCCUGAACCGCUGUGGACCAGCCGUUUCGAGCGGCCCCGGCGACAAUCCCUGUCGACCAGUCUGCCCAGUUUCGCCACGGUGCCUGUAGUAUCGGACGGCUCGGCCAGUGUGGGUAGGAAGCCUCCCAGUGUGGCUCCCUCUCUAUGGUCCGACAGUCCGGCGGCACCGAUCGGCCGGCCCGCGGCGCGCCGUCCCCUGCGGCCGGCUGGGCUCGCCUCUGACGCGGGGCGCGGGCCCUCCAGCCUGCCGGCGGUCACACCCGACAGCGGCGCCGGCGCGGCCGACUGCACGGCUCAGUGGACAGGGGCGGGCGGCGGCGCGGCUGCUGCGCCCGCCGACCGGCACACAGUACAGGUGCGUGUGGCGCGGCCGGAGCACUCCCCAGAAACGGCUGGCAGCGCCCAGCGGCGCCGCGCCAGCACUGGGGUGUACCUGAACGGCGCGGCGCCGGCCGCCGAGAGCCGCACCCAGACCAGCUUCACCAUCAGCCUGGGCGGCGCCAGGAAGCGGCCGUCGUUGUUCUCUCAGCGCUCGUCGCCCAGUCUGCUGUCCACCAGCCAGCCGGCCUCCCUGCCCACGCUCUCCAGUAAGUCGCCCACGUCCCCGCCGCCGGCCAAGCAGCCGCUGUCGCUGUCCGGCCUCCGCGCGGCCCGCCGGCCUCUGUCGACACCGGCAGUACAGGCUCCACCGGCUACAGCCUCCGACAGGCAGCCAGUGUCGCUGCCGGGCCUGUUUGACGCGCGGCAGCCGACUCCUUCAGCACAACGAGAGCCGACAUCACUGCCGGCAGCGACCCGGCUCCCUAAGUCGCCGCCUCCGUCCCGGUCCCAGCCGUCCCUUCCCAAGUCGCCUCCGCCGUCUCGGCCACCGCCGUCCCUCCCCAAGUCACCGCCUCCGUCCCGGUCCCCACCCCGGUCUCCGGCGGCGUCUCGGACCGAGGACAGCCGGCGCGGCUCGAGCGAGCUGCAGCGGCAGCUGGAGGACGACUGGGCGCGGAUGGAGCGGCGGCACCAGGCGUUCCUGCGGCACACGGCCCAGCAGCGCGGCCAGCCGGCGCCGCGCUCCAUUCUGAAGAAGCAGAGCGCACCCAGCCUGCUGGAGAGCGUGGCCAGUGAGAGCCGGCCCGGCUGGGAGCGCGCUGAGCAGCCGCGGCGCCGCGCCAGCAACGUCAACUGGCACGACCUGGAGCGGACCAAGCAGCAGAUCCGCUCCGAGAUCGAGCGCAUGAAGCGCCAGCUUCGAUCCGAGAUGGGCGGCAGCGGCAGCCGGGCGGGGCCGUGGCCUCCGCGGCCGGCGGCCAGCUCCGCCGCCUCCGCCACCAGUUCGACAUCAGGCCGCACCGUGGUGGAGACGAUCCACGCCAUCCACAUCGAGCGCGACUCCAGCCCGGGACUCGUCAUCACCGAGGUGGACGACGCCGAUGACGCCGCCUCCAACCACUCAGGCGUUGUCAUCGAGGAGAUCUUUGACGACGAGCUGGACGCCGCGGCGCCGGCGGGCGAUGCCGACUCGCUGCCGCGCCCAGCAGCGCAGGAGCGAUCUCACCCGGGUCCUGCGGUGUCAGAACCGCAGCCGCAACCGUCACCAUCUCCCUGGUGGAGGACCCCGGUGGCUGCGGCCUCGGCGGCCACUGAGACGUCUCACCUGCCCGGAUGGAGGCGGCCGACCCAACCAGCCACCGCCGUAUCAGGUGCGGAGUCUCGGCUCCUCCACUCGGCAGGGUCGGUGUCUGAGCGGCCAGUGUCCGGCGGCGGACUGUCUGACGGGGAGCGGCAGCACGUGCAGGUGGAGCAGCUGAGUGCGACGUCCGUCUCCGGGGAACAGCAGAGGGAUCUCUCGAUGACUCAUUUUCGGCACCUGUAUGUCGAUAAGAUGAAAACGGUGCAUAUUGGAACAGCGGGCCGUGUUCACAGAUGGCGGCAGCGCGGAGUGGCUGCCUACGGCGUCUGAGGCCGCGGCGUCGCCGGCCGAACCACGCUCGGACGAGCCGCGGCCGCCGGAGGCUUCUCGCUGGAACGGCCCGCCUCAGCCGGCUGCCGUAGCACGGGAGACGGAGCCGCACUCGCCGCUGUCAGCUUCCCUGGAGUCAGAGCUGACGCAGUCUGCUGCAGCCCCGGAAACGGGGACAGCACCGCCGGCAGCAGCACCGCCAACGCCUUCUUCAUCCGUGUCUGAUGACCUCGCAGCUCUCCGAGUAUCAGACGCACAGGCCUCUGAUAACGCUCCAAAGUUGUUAGGAAGUUUGGAAACUUCAGAACGUAAAGCUGAAUUGGAUCGGUUGGAAGAAGACAUAGGACGGACUGCAGGUGAGAGCAUCAGUGGAGUGGAAGGGAGCAGGCUCGUGACUUCGAUUGAAUCUUGCCAGUCAUCUGUGGUUGACAGGGCGAACGAAGCUCAGGAAGAUUGUCGCCAGUCAGUUUUGGAUGCGAAGUCUUCCAUCACAGUGUCUGAUACGUCUUGCCAGUUGUCGGAAAAGUCCGACUUGUCUUUGUUAAACCAUAGCGUGUCAAAACUGCCGUCGGCUCAGGAGUCACAAUCAUUGAACAGUCGGUCAGAUACAUCGGACGUAUUCAAAUCAUCACCAGGUGAGAGGCCUGAGACGCAUCAGCUGCCUGAGGAGUCUCAGAAACCCCAUAACUCCAGGACGACCUCUGAAUCCCCAGCCCCAUCGGAGAAACCCCAGUCGUCACAACAGCCCUCCAAGAAGAGCCGCAGGAUGCCACCAGCGUCAACGUUCGGUAGUUGGAAGGCGCGGCACGCGGGUCUGGUCGCCCCCGGCUCCCAGGCCGGCCGGUCCGGCAGCACGGCUGUUGGCAGGAGCGUGGAGGUGGCGCUGGGUCGCCUGCUGGCCGGGUCCGGUCGGGCUGAUCGUGGCACGCAGGUCACACAGAAAGUAGAGCCCGCACGGAGCGGCGCCGCCGCGGGGCGGCCGGUGUCCCGUCCCCGCCCCGCGGCCGACCGCGGUGUGACACCGCCGCGGCAGCACCGCACUGGGCCCGGAGAAGGGACGCCCGCUCAGAGAGUGUCGGCCGCCAGAGCCGCCAGACAAGCCCCGUCCGCUCCGAGCCAUAGUCCGUCUGUCCCGAGACAAGAGCCGCCGACAACACUAAGCACUACUUCGCGUGUGGAUGUUGACCAGCGGAAGGAUAAUGAGCGACGUAGGGUAGCGGGGCCGAACAGUGAUCUUGAGGCACACAGAGGUGAGGAAAGGCGGCACGGCGGUCCCCGGUCUGUUACUGGAGACAGGGCGACAAAGUUCCACCGUACUACUGAAUCAGCACGGACGCAGACAAAGCCCAGCUCCCACAGAGAUAAAGCGGAUAGCGGCGACAGAAAUAGUGCUACAAAUCGAGGCUCUCGGACGGAGAAUUUAAAACCAAAACCACAAACAAAGCCCCCUCCAGCGACCGAGCGUGUCCAAAACACUCGAUUGGUUAUCACCCAGAAAUUGAAUGCCAGCUCACCACAUUUCUACACGGAAAUGCAGUGGAACGAGAUGGGGACCGGCAAGGUCCGCCACGGCAGAUCGCCAAACGAUGGUGAGUCGACCGCUCCGGACGAGACCCGACACUAUCACUCUGUGGCCGCGGUCGGCGCCAGCGUCACCAGCCGAGUGGUGACACCCGGUGGUGACCUCCGCACCACGUUCAGCACCAGCACCACUUCCGGCACCAGCCCGGGACGACCGCGCUCCCCGGCGCCGGGCCGCCGGCCGGCCAGCGCCGCGCCGAGGCCAGACUAUUUGUCACAUUCAUCGAGACCAAGUAAAAGUGUCCAUGGUUGCAGCAUCACAGUCCAGGAAUUUAUUGUAUAAUAUAGAUGAUAGGUGUAGCUCAUUGAGUGGUGCCCUCGCGACAGCACAGUCACAACGCGGCGGGGGCGGCAGUGUCGCCUUGUUAUGACAGAACGGGGCCCAGGUCGUCUUCCCGGCGUCAGUUCCUCUGUUGGCUCGACCUACACUCGGUCAGAGACCUUUGGAGAGUCGCAGUCCUCGCCUCCGAUAGGCCGGCCAGGCGACUGUGCGAAGCUGUGUCUGCGGAGGUACCGUCGCUCAGUCUGCGGCCACUGUGAUAUAUGAUUAAUGUGGCAUUAUGUAAUACAUCAUCCGUGUUUACA